rnacentral:rRNA from 1 species
UACGUAGGGACCAAGCGUUGUUCGGAUUUACUGGGCGUAAAGGGCGCGUAGGCGGCUUAACAAGUCACUUGUGAAAUCUCCGGGCUUAACUCGGAACGGCCAAGUGAAACUGUCAAGCUAGAGUGCAGAAGGGGCGAUCGGAAUUCUUGGUGUAGCGGUGAAAUGCGUAGAUAUCAAGAGGAACACCUGAGGUGAAGACGGGUUGCUGGGCUGACACUGACGCUGAGGCGCGAAAGCCAGGGGAGCAAACAGG